GAUGAACGCUGGCGGCGUGCCUAAUACAUGCAAGUCGAGCGAACGGACCAGAAGCUUGCUUCUCUGAUGUUAGCGGCGGACGGGUGAGUAACAUGUGGAUAACCUACCUAUAAGACUGGGAUAACUUCGGGAAACCGGAGCUAAUACCGGAUAAUCUUUUGAACCGUAUGGUUCAAAAGUGAAAGUCGGUCUUUCUGUCAGUAAUAGCUGGAUCCGCGCUGCAUUAGCUAGUUGGUAAGGUAACGGCUUACCAAGGCAACGAUGCAUAGCCGACCUGAGAGGGUGAUCGGCCACACUGGAACUGAGACACGGUCCAGACUCCUACGGGAGGCAGCAGUAGGGAAUCUUCCGCGAUGGGCGAAAGCCUGACGGAGCAACGCCGCGUGAGUGAUGAAGGUCUUCUGAUCGUAAAACUCUGUUAUUAGGGAAGAACAUAUGUGUAAGUAACUGUGCACAUCUUGACGGUACCUAAUCAGAAAGCCACGGCUAACUACGUG
rnacentral:rRNA from 1 species